rnacentral:rRNA from 1 species
CCUACGGGAGGCAGCAGUGGGGAAUAUUGGACAAUGGGCGAAAGCCUGAUCCAGCAAUGCCGCGUGAGUGAUGAAGGCCUUAGGGUCGUAAAGCUCUUUUACCCGGGAUGAUAAUGACAGUACCGGGAGGAUAAGCCCCGGCUAACUCCGUGCCAGCAGCCGCGGUAAUACGGAGGGGGCUAGCGUUGUUCGGAAUUACUGGGCGUAAAGCGUGCGUAGGCGGUUAUUCAAGUCAGAGGUGAAAGCCCGGGGCUCAACCCCGGAACGGCCUUUGAAACUAGGUAGCUAGAAUCUUGGAGAGGUCAGUGGAAUUCCGAGUGUAGAGGUGAAAUUCGUAGAUAUUCGGAAGAACACCAGUGGCGAAGGCGACUGACUGGACAAGUAUUGACGCUGAGGCACGAAAGCGUGGGGAGCAAACAGGAUUAGAUACCCUGGUAGUCCACGCCGUAAACGAUGAUAACUAGCUGUUCGGGUACUUGGUAUCUGAGUGGCGCAGCUACGACAUUAAGUUAUUCCGUCCGUCGGGUAGGUACGGUCGCGAAGAAUUAAACUAACAAAUAGUAAGUUAGUACGGCGUGAGACGUAGCCGAACGGACGACGACGAGGGAGGUAGG